UACGGAGGGGGCUAGCGUUGUUCGGAAUUACUGGGCGUAAAGCGCGUGUAGGCGGUUGUCCAAGUUGGAUGUGAAAGCCUUGAGCUUAACUCAAGAAAUGCAUUCAGGACUGGAUGACUAGAGGACCGGAGAGGAUAGUGGAAUUCCCAGUGUAGUGGUGAAAUACGUAGAGAUUGGGAAGAACACCAGUGGCGAAGGCGGCUAUCUGGACGGUUUCUGACGCUAAGACGCGAAAGCGUGGGGAGCAAACAGG
rnacentral:rRNA from 1 species